rnacentral:rRNA from 1 species
UACGUAGGUGGCAAGCGUUGUCCGGAUUUACUGGGCGUAAAGAGCGCGCAGGCGGUCGUGCAAGUCGCGUGUGAAAGCCCCCGGCUCAACUGGGGAGGGUCACGCGAUACUGUUCGACUCGAAGGCAGGAGAGGGAAGCGGAAUUCCCGGUGUAGAGGUGAAAUUCGUAGAUAUUGGGAAGAACACCGGUGGCGAAGGCGGCGACCUGGUCCGAUACUGACGCUGAGGCGCGAAAGCGUGGGGAGCAAACAGG